rnacentral:rRNA from 1 species
CAAAAACAUCGCCUCCCGCAAACAUCAACGUAUAGGAGGUCUUGCCUGCCCAGUGACUACAAGUUAAACGGCCGCGGUAUUUUGACCGUGCAAAGGUAGCGCAAUCACUUGUCUUUUAAAUGAAGACCUGUAUGAAUGGUGAAACGAGGGCUUAACUGUCUCCCCUCCCCAGUCAAUGAAAUUGAUCUGCCCGUGCAGAAGCGGGCAUAAAACUACAAGACGAGAAGACCCUUUGGAGCUUAAGAUAAAGACCAACUAUGUUAAAAGUCCAAAAAGAGACUAAACCCAAUAGCCCUGGUUCCUAUCUUCGGUUGGGGCGACCACGGGAGAAAACAAAGCUCCCAUGAGGACUGGGGAAAUCCCUAGAACCAAGAGAGACAUCUCUAAGACACAGAAUAUCUGACCACACUGAUCCGGCUACAUACCGACCAACGAACCAAGUUACCCUAGGGAUAACAGCGCAAUCCCCUUUCAGAGUCCAUAUCGACAAGGGGGUUUACGACCUCGAUGUUGGAUCAGGACAUCCUAAUGGUGCAGCCGCUAUUAAGGGUUC